CAUUGUGGUCCAGUGAAAUGUGUGUGACCUUUGAGGCAAAGGCACUGGGGUUUGGAUCGCCACCAUGCCAUUUCUAAGAUGACCUUUGGAACAUCACUUUAUGUAGAAUUAUCUGAAUUUCAGCUUUCUGCAGUCACAUGUGCCAUGUUUCACAUUCUGCCUGUUCCCCAGAGUCUCCCAGUGCCCAUCUUCGCCGACAAAACCCAAGGCAGUGGCUCACAGAAGGCUUCAUGGACUGUGGAUAUUGGAGUAAUCAGAAGACAAUACUACAAGCAAGACAGGAAAAUGUUCACUUAAGAAGCUAAAAUAAAAAUCAUCAGCUCCUAGGCCUUAGAAAGCUUGUCUUACCUCAUAAGACCAGACACACUGAGUCCCACCAAAACGUCGAACACAUCUUCCUACUUCCACAUCCUCGUGAGUCGUGUACAUUUCUCGGAGGCAUUCACCAAUAUGGGGCACCAUCCUCCUGAGAACUUCUCGACUGAAGAUCAUGCCAGGUCCUCCCAUACAGAAGUUCUCACCUGGCUCCAGCCCCAGCUUUCCAAGUUCUUCAAUAUUGCCCAGGCCAGUCUGGCCCAGAUAGAGGGGCUUGCUGCUAUUCAGUGACCUAAGAAACUCUUCCAACUUAUCACCUACAAAG